UCCUUGUAGCUGGUAGAGCUCAGUUGGUAGAGCAAGAUACUCUUAAUUUCAUGGUCGUGGGUUUGAGCCCCACGUUGGGGAA